rnacentral:rRNA from 1 species
UACGUAGGGGGCAAGCGUUGUCCGGAAUCAUUGGGCGUAAAGCGCGUGUAGGCGGCCCGAUAAGUCCGCUGUGAAAGUCCAGGGCUCAACCCUGGGAUGCCGGUGGAUACUGUCGGGCUCGAGUCCGGAAGAGGAGUGUGGAAUUCCCGGUGUAGCGGUGAAAUGCGCAGAUAUCGGGAAGAACACCCGUGGCGAAGGCGGCUCUCUGGGACGGUACUGACGCUGAGACGCGAAAGCGUGGGGAGCGAACAGG